rnacentral:lncRNA from 14 species
CUCCGGGAGUAGGGGGACUUGGUUUAAACUACGACAUUUUUGGCGCCCAACGUGGGGCCCGAGGGAUUGAGAUAAGAACAGAUCUGAGCGGAUUUAUGGUCUCUUGUCACAAUGCUGAUUUAUUGCCUCUUAGAGGUUUUUCUCUGGAUCUCGCUGUUUCGGGAUUUUACCGGGUACUUGGUGUAUGGAUUGGAUGUGUUUGUGUUUGUGUCGGAGGCUUGUAAUACGGUGGGGCUCCGGCAGCAGGGGGGGAUGGACGUGGCCGUGGACUUGGACUUGUACCAGGCCGUCCCGCUGCUCUUCGCCGUCCUUGUCCUUAUCCUCGUCGUCGUCUGCGUGAGGCUGCGUGAAGCCAGGAAGGAGCGGCCCCGGGAGCUGCAGGCAGCUGAGGCUGCCAGGGAGAGCGGCACGGGGAGCCAAACAGCUGUGGCAGAGCAGCGGGAGCAGGCGGGGGAGGAGCGGAGCAGGGCGGUAGCUGAGCAGCGGGAUCAGGCAGCCGGGGGGGUGAGUCCCGCGGCCGUUCCCGACCCUCCGACGGCUGAGAGUGUCCCCCGGAAGUCGCCCGCCGAGCCCCAGCAGGAUGCAGGAGACUACGCAGCACUUCCCAGCAAGGCAGUGGAGGAACCGAGUCCUGCCGCCGUUCCGAACCCCGCAGCGGCCGAGAAAAUUCCCCAGAAGUCACCCGCCGAGCCCCAGCAGGAUACAGGAGACCACGUGGCACUUCCCAGCAAGGCAGAGGAGGAAGAUCCGGACUCAGGAGAAGAGAAGCUGAUGAUGGGAGAACUGGCAAGCAGGGCACCUACAUCAGCCCCAGUGACAAGUGCAGCAGCAGCUGAGAGUUCUGAUGGAUUUGAAUGGCUUUUGGGUGCCCUUGGGACCUGCCUGCUGAUUAUUAUAGGGGUCAGCCUGUUGGCACAGACACAGAGUGUGUUCUAUCCACAAUCAUUUUGUCUGAUCCCAAAAGUUAAGCAGAGUCAGGUUUGGGUCUUGUCUAGGGUUAGACAAGGAUAUAGGAGCACCAAGAGACUGUCCCCAAGGCUGGACAGUCAUAAGUGGCAGGGCAUGUGGGACAGUAUGGCCAAGUAUCUGAUCCACUGGGCCCCUCCAGUGCUUUGGAAGCAUUGGAAGUGGAAGGCAGCUGUAUGGAGUCCCCAGCAGCAAGCUGUAGAACUGCUGAAGGGGACGGUGAAUGAUUUUGAGCCUGGUGGGCCCAGAUACUUCAGGCCAUCAGUCCAGAGAUGCAACAUAGAGAUGUCUCAUGAUCGAGGGGUGGACUUAAGAGUGAUUGUGUAUUGGAAAU